rnacentral:rRNA from 1 species
GACGAACGCUGGCGGCGUGCCUAAUACAUGCAAGUCGAGCGGACGAAUCGAAAGCUUGCUUUUGAUUCGUUAGCGGCGGACGGGUGAGUAACACGUGGGCAACCUGCCCUGUAGACGGGGAUAACACCGAGAAAUCGGUGCUAAUACCGGAUAACACGAAAUGUCGCAUGACGUUUCGUUGAAAGACGGCGCAAGCUGCCGCUACAGGAUGGGCCCGCGGCGCAUUAGCUAGUUGGUGAGGUAACGGCUCACCAAGGCGACGAUACGUAGCCGACCUGAGGGGUGAUCGGCCACACUGGGACUGAGACACGGCCCAGACUCCUACGGGAGGCAGCAGUAGGGAAUCUUCCGCAAUGGACGAAAGUCUGACGGAGCAACGCCGCGUGAGCGAAGAAGGCCUUCGGGUCGUAAAGCUCUGUUGUUAGGGAAGAACAAGUAACGCAGUAACUGGCGUUACCGUGACGGUACCUAACGAGAAAGCCACGGCUAACUACGUG